rnacentral:rRNA from 1 species
UACGGGGGGGGCAAGCGUUGUUCGGAAUUACUGGGCGUAAAGGGCUCGUAGGUGGCCAACUAAGUCAGACGUGAAAUCCCUCGGCUUAACCGGGGAACUGCGUCUGAUACUGGAUGGCUUGAGUUUGGGAGAGGGACGCGGAAUUCCAGGUGUAGCGGUGAAAUGCGUAGAUAUCUGGAGGAACACCGGUGGCGAAGGCGGCGUCCUGGACCAAUACUGACACUGAUGAGCGAAAGCGUGGGGAGCGAACAGG